rnacentral:rRNA from 1 species
GAUGAACGCUGGCGGCGUGCCUAAUACAUGCCAGUCGAGCGAACAGACGAGGAGCUUGCUCCUCUGACGUUAGCGGCGGACGGGUGAGUAACACGUGGAUAACCUACCUAUAAGACUGGGAUAACUUCGGGAAACCGGAGCUAAUACCGGAUAAUAUAUUGAACCGCAUGGUUCAAUAGUGAAAGACGGUUUUGCUGUCACUUAUAGAUGGAUCCGCGCCGCAUUAGCUAGUUGGUAAGGUAACGGCUUACCAAGGCAAUGAUGCGUAGCCGACCUGAGAGGGUGAUCGGCCACACUGGAACUGAGACACGGUCCAGACUCCUACGGGAGGCAGCAGUAGGGAAUCUUCCGCAAUGGGCGAAAGCCUGACGGAGCAACGCCGCGUGAGUGAUGAAGGUCUUCGGAUCGUAAAACUCUGUUAAUAGGGAAGAACAAAUGUGUAAGUAACUAUGCACGUCUUGACGGUACCUAAUCAGAAAGCCACGGCUAACUACGUG